AAGAAGUGCAGAGAGAAAAGGAAACAGAAAAGAGAGAAAAGUGAUUAGUGAUUCUUCAGAGAAAAAUGAUUUAGCCUCAGAUAUUUUACAAGUUCUGCAGCAAUGUGUUUGUUGGAGCUGUUGAUUUGGAUUCAUUCUGUGAUUCUGAGUUUGGAUCUGAAUUUGUGGAAGUUGAGGCUGGAGAUGGGUUUCGUGAAUAUGUCUGCUAUUUGGUCUUGAGAGGGAAUAUGCAAGACACUAACUUUCUUUUGAGUAACAUAAUCUCUUACAAAGUAGAGGUCAAGCUCAAAGUGUUUGCUUUUGUUAUGAAGAAUUGGGUUUACAGCCAUUAAAACUGCACUUUGGCUGUCACAGUAGAGGUUGGGUGUGAUGGAGCAUGGGAUUCUCAUUUCACUCAUUAAAUUUUGGAUCCAGAGAAUUUCAGUUAAGCAAGCAGCUAGCCCUCGAUAUUCUGCCUCUGUGGAGCUCCUAGAGACUGCAUUUUGUUUUCUGCUUGACCAUGAGACUAGGUUUGGUCCGAGAAAUACGUAGAACCCACUGGUUGAUUUCCUGUCAUCAAUAUCACUGCCCCAAUCGGAGUCACUGAAGCCAUAGAUUCUGCAUUCACUCAUUCUUUGGAAUCUCAGCCCCCAAUUUGAUGUCCCAGCAAGGUAUCGUAGGAUCCGUUUGACUGCUUUCCAGUGGCUUUCCAGAGGAGUUUGCAUGAAUUGAGAGACUUUGUUCACAGCAUAGGUAAUUUCAGGUCUGGUUAUUGUAGCGUAUUGAAGUCCCCCAACUAUAGACCUGUAAAGCGUUGGGUUGUGGUAAACGUCCUUGCCAUGUGCUGACAGCCUGACACUUGAUAUCAUAGGCGUUGUUGCUGCUUUGGCACCGCGCAUUCCCGCCCUGGUUAAUAGGUCUUGAAUGUACUUUGUUUGGCACAGGAGUAUGUCAGUGUCAUUGAGUUUCACAGUUUCAAUGCCCAAGAAAUAGUUCAUAUGUCCCAAAUCUUUGAGGGUAAACACAGCAUUCAACUCAUAGAUUAGGGUGGAAAUUUCAGCUUGGGAGCCCCCGGUGACCAAGAUAUCAUCCACAUAAAUGAGAAUGUAGAUGACUGAGGAAGGGAAAAACUUGGUGAAUAGUGAUGUAUCAGAUUUGGUGUUCAUGAAGCCAAAUCGGUUGAGGGUGUCCUUGAGCUUUAUGAACCAGGCUCGAGGGGCUCGUUUGAGGCCAUAGAGGGACCUUUGGAGUUUGCAGACAUGGUGAGGGUGAGUGGGAGAGGUGAACCCUUCUGGUUGAGACAUGACAAGGGUCUCAUGUAGAUCCCCAUUGAGGAAGGCAUUAUUGAAGUCAAAUUGCCGGAUGGGCCAUCCCUUGGAGAGUGCGAGGCUGAGCAUGAUGCGAACUGUGGGUGGGCGGACGACAGGGCUGAAGACUUGGUCAUAGUUGACCCCUUCUCGUUGGUGAAAUCCUUUCGCGACAAGGCGAGCUUUAUACUUCUGAAUGGUGCCGUCUGGGUGCCUUUUGACACGAAACACCCAUUUGGAGCCAAUGACGGGGUCUGUGUGGUGGGGGUUUGGGUACCAGCUGCCAGGUUUGGUUGCGCAUUAGAGCAUCAAAUUCCUCCUGCAUGGCUUGUUUCCAGUGGUGGCUGGCCAGCGCUUGUUGAACAGAGGAAGGGAGAGAUUCAGUGAGAUCGGAGGCAGGGGUGGCGAGGACUGCAGCAUAGGUUUUGGGCUUGAGGUUUCCUGUCUUGCUCCGAGUUAGCAUAGGAUGACGAUUGAUGGGCGCUGGUUGAGGAAGUGGCAGGACAACUUCAGGGCGGCCUGGCUGCAGGGUACCUGUGGUGAACGAAGGAACACUGACAGGGUCGUUAACAAAAGCAGAAACACAAUCAUGAGUUACAAAGCCAGAUAGAUGCUGGAGUAUCUUGUACUGGCGUCAAUGAAGCAUAUGUAAUACCUGCAACCAUUUCUACUAUACACAAGAGCAGGUCCCCAGAGGUCAGAGAAAAUCAUAUCUAAAGGUGCAUAGGUAGUGUGUGAGUCAGGGUGAGGUAAUUGAUGUAUUUUGCUGAUACAACAAGCAUGACACAAUAAUGGUUCAAGACUCAUUUUAUUUAUUGAAUCAUUGUCAAUUACAUUGCAUUGCUUCAUUACAAUAGAGGCAAUUUUUUCAAAUGGGUGACCCAAUUUUCUAUGCCAUAGUUGAGCAGUGGGACUUAUCUUUUUACAGGUUAGCAGUGCAUUUGCACUAGACAGGUUCAUAUCUCUAUUUGGUAUAUUUGUUAUUACAUUGGUAGAAAGUAGAACAUUAGCAGACUUCACUUGCUCUUUUGGUUGGCUGAGUAUGUUGUGAGGACUUGAUUGCUUGUCGUGUGAGUGUGGUUGUUGUGAUAUUGGUUAGGAUAGUGCAUAGGUUGUAAAGGAUGCGGUUUGGGUUUCUGCUAAGGUCUUUGAGGGCUGCUGUGAGAUUGAGUUAAGGUUUGCUAUUUGUGCUGCGUCAAGCUUGCUUGUUCUUAUUACUAACACAGGGUGUGUGGCUUUACUGGUGAUGGUGGUAGAGGCUUUAUGUGGUUUGCUAUUUGCUGUCAGAACUAGGCUUUGAUUUUCUGAAGUAUUAGGAGAUAGUGUGAUUUUUGAAGUUAGCUGUGAGGGUGAGUAAGGGAUGGGAGUAGGGGGCUGUGCUGUGGAAGAGUAGGUGGCAGGGAGGUGUGUGGUUUCAUUUGGUUUGGUGUGUGGGGUGUGAUAUAAGGGUGGAUGAAGGUUAGUAAUUGUGUGGUAGCAGGUUGAGUUGGUUAUACUAUUAUUAUUGGGGCUGGGAGUUUUUGGGAUGAUUUGAACUCCCUCAAACCUGUACAGUCCAUCCUUAAGCAGUCCUUGGAGGAGGACUUUCUUGGAUAUCUGGCAUUUUACAUAGCACAAGUAAGGCCAGAAUUCAAAGUAGACAUAGUUGCCUAAUGUAAAUUUGGCUACACUUAUUAGGUUUUUAGAUAUGGCAGGGACAUGGAGUAAAUUUUGUAAUUGGAGUAAAUUUUGUAAUUGGAAGGGUUUGUUUGAUAGUGAUGCAUGCAUAAAUGUACUUCCAAUAUGCUUAAUUUUCAUACCUUGACCAUUACCUCCAAAGACCUGUUCUGUGCCAUCAUAACUGGUUCCUGUGGCUAGGUUCCGUGCAUCAUAGGUGCAGUGGUGAGAGGCUCCUGAGUCAGGGUACCAUGUUGUGUCUGGCAUUGCUGAGGGGACAGUGAGGAGAGCCUGCGGAUUUUGGGAAGCCGGUUGUGCUGCAUUUUGAGUUUGUUGUUGCUUCUGAGUGGUUCUUGAGUUGGAAUUGUUGUUGUGGAAGGCAAAGGAUGGGGGCUGAGUUGUGUUUAGAGGUUGAAGAUGAGGGUUCAUAAAAUCUUGAUCGAAGCGGUGAUAGCACUGGAUGACUGUGUGUCCAAUCUUGCCACAGAGUUGGCACUGCGGUCUGCUUCCUUGCCACCAGGAGGAAUGACUGCCUCCUCCUCUGUACUGUCCUCUGCCUCUGGACCCUCGAAAGUCGCCUCUGUUGUUGUAGUUGCUAUAGUUUCUUCUUUGAGAGUUUUCUUGAAUUUCUUCAUUGCUUUGAGCUACAUUUACUUGCAUUGCUCCUAGUUUUGUCUUUCUGAAUCUUUCAAUUAACUCUUCUUGAGUUAAGAGUUGUGUUUCAAGUUCACUUUCAGUGGUGUGAUCUAUUCUUGCUGUUGCAACUGUGAUAAAUGUAUUGUAUUCUUCACCAAGUCCUGCCAAGGCUACUUCAAUGUAAUUUUCCCUUGAGAGUGGAGCUCCCAGUGCUUUCAGUGAAUCUGCCACCUGGUUGUUCUGUUACCGAGUGAUCUCAGCUGCGUUUUCAGUUGCUUGAUUCUUGUCUUCACUCUUGCAGCAAAGUACUCCUCUAAUGUGAACCAGAUCUGGUAAGCAUACUCACAUUCGAUCACUCGGUUUACAAAGCUUGGUUCCAUGGAUGCAAUUAGCCAGAAUCUUCGAAGGAUUGAGGUGACUCUGCAAUUUGUUGACCUUGAUGCAUGCAAGGGCUUGCUUUUUCCAUGCGUUGUGGUUGUUUUCGUUGAGCUUGAUUGCAGCGAAGGCAGCGAA